GCAAGAUUAAAACUCAAAGGAAUAGACGGGGACCCGCACAAGUGGUGGAGCAUGUGGUUUAAUUCGAAGAUACGCGAAGAACCUUACCUAGCCUUGACAUUGAUAGAAUCUUCCAGAGAUGGAGGAGUGCCUUUCGGGGAACUUGAAAACAGGUGCUGCACGGCUGUCGUCAGCUCGUGUCGUGAGAUGUUGGGUUAAGUCCCGCAACGAGCGUAACCCUCGUCAUUAGUUACUAACAGUUCGGCUGAGGACUCUAAUGAGACUGCCUUCGUAAGGAGGAGGAAGGUGAGGACGACGUCAAGUCAUCAUGGCCCUUACGGCUAGGGCGACACACGUGCUACAAUGGUUAGGACAAUGAGAAGCGAUACCGCGAGGUGGAGCAAAUCUAUAAACCUAAUCUCAGUUCGGAUUGUAGUCUGCAACUCGACUACAUGAAGCUGGAAUCACUAGUAAUCGUAGAUCAGCCAUGCUACGGUGAAUACGUUCCCGGGUCUUGUACUCACCGCCCGUCACACCAUGGGAGUUGAUUUCACCCGAAGCGGGGAAGCUAAACUGGCUACCCUCCACGGUGGAAUUAGCGACUGGGGUGAAGUCGUAACAAGGUA
rnacentral:rRNA from 1 species